rnacentral:rRNA from 1 species
GUCCACGCCCUAAACGAUGAAUACUCGAUGUUGGCGAUAUACAGUCAGCGUCUAAGGGAAACCGUUAAGUAUUCCACCUGGGGAGUACGUCCGCAAGGAUGAAACUCAAAGAAAUUGGCGGGGGUCCGCACAAGCGGUGGAUUAUGUGGUUUAAUUCGAUGAUACGCGAGGAACCUUACCAGGGCUAGAAUGUAAUUGGAAUAUAGAGGAAACUUUAUAGUUAGCAAUAACCGGUUACAAGGUGCUGCAUGGUUGUCGU